rnacentral:rRNA from 1 species
GACGAACCGUGCGAACGUUAUUCGGAAUUACUGGGCGUAAAGCGCGCGUAGGUGGUUCGUUAAGUUGGAUGUGAAAUCCCCGGGCUCAACCUGGGAACUGCAUUCAAAACUGUCGAGCUAGAGUAUGGUAGAGGGUGGUGGAAUUUCCUGUGCAGCGGUGAAAUGCGUAGAUAUAGGAAGGAACACCAGUGGCGAAGGCGACAACCUGGACUGAUACUGACACUGAGGUGCGAAAGCGUGGGGAGCAAACAGG